CUCAAGGAGACAGGGCAUUGCUUAGGAUGGACUUGCAGGCAGGUUAACAGGCAACGCCAACUGAGGAGCCGCCUUCUCAGCGUAGCCUACCCUGCUGCCCGUCCUCUGAGAACCCCAGCUACCCUGCAACCCAAGAGCUUUCAUCAUGUAGACUCGGUGGGAAUUCAUGAAGACUAUGCACCGCACCCGGACUUCUUUGCGCUUCUGGACAGGCCUGGCGCAGGACUUGAGCCCGGCGCAGGAGCAGCCCCUGCCUCCCCAGCAAUUCAUUAAUGGAGCAGCAUUCCAUCCACGAACUAGAAGCCUGUUCAGAUGAGAGCAGAAAAAAGCAGAAGCAAGAAACAAAAGUGGAUUGUUUUAAAGUUACUUUCUUACAAGGUUAAAGCAGAGGGGCCUGCGUACCAGGCUGCCUCAGACAGAGGGGAUCCUUAUUCCUGGUGAGUAAGACCCCCAUUCAGCGAGGGGCUGGGAGAAGCCUGAAGCUCCUGCUUCUUGUGCAGACGGGCGCUUCAAGCCUCUUCCCUUCCAGAGACGUCCACCCUGCAAGAGGCCAGUGAAGAUGAAGGCGACCAAGAGCACUCCCUGUCCUCGUCCCAUCAUGACCUGCACUCUGAUGGAGUCCUGUCACCUCAGGAACUCCAGCCUCCUGGGAUGUUAAAGGUCCACAUCUAAUCUCACCCAACUGCUUGAUCUCUUAUCCUGGGCCUCUCGUCCGAGGACCUCCCAUGGCAACUCUACCCACAGUCCCCCCUGCCACUCAGCCCUUGCACCAAGCGAAAUGACUCUUCCCACAAGAAACAGCGCCUACGGCCCCGUCCAUCAUGGCUCUUUCGUCUCCCGUUACACAGCUGGACCCAGAGUUUUCUAAGAAGUUUCAGACGAAGCUUAUGAAUCUGACCUUCAGCCAAGUCCCCAUGGUUUGCUGAAGAAACCCC